rnacentral:rRNA from 1 species
AUUGAACGCUGGCGGCAGGCCUAACACAUGCAAGUCGAACGGUAACAGGAAGCAGCUUGCUGCUUUGCUGACGAGUGGCGGACGGGUGAGUAAUGUCUGGGAAACUGCCUGAUGGAGGGGGAUAACUACUGGAAACGGUAGCUAAUACCGCAUAACGUCGCAAGACCAAAGAGGGGGACCUUCGGGCCUCUUGCCAUCGGAUGUGCCCAGAUGGGAUUAGCUAGUAGGUGGGGUAACGGCUAACCUAGGCGACGAUCCCUAGCUGGUCUGAGAGGAUGACCAGCCACACUGGAACUGAGACACGGUCCAGACUCCUACGGGAGGCAGCAGUGGGGAAUAUUGCACAAUGGGCGCAAGCCUGAUGCAGCCAUGCCGCGUGUAUGAAGAAGGCCUUCGGGUUGUAAAGUACUUUCAGCGGGGAGGAAGGGAGUAAAGUUAAUACCUUUGCUCAUUGACGUUACCCGCAGAAGAAGCACCGGCUAACUCCGUG